rnacentral:rRNA from 1 species
UACAGAGGGUGCGAGCGUUGUCCGGAAUCACUGGGCGUAAAGGGCGCGUAGGCGGCUUGAUAAGCGUGCGGUGAAAGCCCGGGGCUCAACCCCGGGUCGGCCGUGCGAACUGUCGAGCUGGAGCACUGUAGAGGCAGGUGGAAUUCCGGGUGUAGCGGUGGAAUGCGUAGAGAUCCGGAAGAGCACCGGUGGCGAAGGCGGCCUGCUGGGCAGUGGCUGACGCUGAGGCGCGACAGCGUGGGGAGCAAACAGG